GCCGUUCAGACGUACAUGUACGCAUCAUUUGGAACUGAAAAUUACGUAAUUUAUCGACCUGCUGGCUUGUAUUUGUUAUAAAUCAUAAAAAACCUGUGACGCCAGUGGAACUACGUGGUUUUCUUUUGUGAUGAUUUGAUGAUACCUCAAUGGAAUUGAGCCAAGUUUUCGCCGUAAGUAAUAACGUAUUGGGUGCUAGAUGCCCCUUGGAGUUAAGCCCCAGUGCCACUAUACUACCUUACCAGUUAUGUGUGGGUGUUGUAGUCCUAAGACACCCCGGAGGUACAAAGGCCUUCACAAACUCACGCCACGCCUUCCUAUCUUCAGCAACCCUCGUGACCUCGCUCCACCAGCUCAAACCUGCCACUCGCAGCUCAUUUUUCGACGGACCGCUUCCAUGAGUAGACAAGGCACCGACGAUCACGGCUUGCAUCACCUGUACUGCUAUGUAAUAUAGUAUGCUGAGCAUCGCUGCCAUUAUACUAGGAUCAACGUCCUGCCCCUUCCCCGGCUAUGUACAAAUUGGAACUCCAUGCCCCUGCAUGCCCCUUUGACUGAGCAACAUGUGUGUGCUCGAAACACAUUCAAUUGCAACAAAAUGACUCCCAGGCUGACCUGGCCCAGCUCUUGUUUCAAUGAAAGAGUGAAAAUUCUUCUCCAUGUACAAUCACUUCUAACGCCUACACUGACUACCCCAAAUAUGAUCAUCACUCAACGUGUCUCACAUCAAGAAACUUUUCAAAAGUCAUCGAGAAGAGAAACAUGAUAUCUUUUCCCAUUGUUUCCUGAAUAAUCCUAACUAAAAGUUACUUCUCUAUUCUAUUUUUCCUGCAUGGAGUGGCGUUUUUCCGUCUAAUGGAAACGAAAUGAACAUAUAUGCUCUGGGUUUUUUUUGUUUUUGUGCACCUUUUCAAUAUUACUAAU